CCCCUAUUAAUACUCUUGCAUAAUAAAGGAAAACUAAUCCAACAUCGAGGUCGCAAACACAUUUGUCAAUUUGAACUUUCAAAAUAUAUUACGCUGUUAUCCCUAAAGUAACUUAUUUAAUAUUCAAAAGUUUUGGGUAUUAAAAACUAUCCUAUUUAUAAUAAUUUAAAAGUGUUUUUCUUCUUACCGCCCCAGUAAAACAUAUUUUCAAUUUUCUAGAUUAUUUUAUGUAAAGCUUUAUAGGGUCUUCUUGUCUAAAAGAUGUAUUUUAGCCUUUUUACUAAAAAGUAAAGUUAAAAAAGUAAAAUUAAAAAAGAGCUUUUCCAGUCUAUCCUUUCAUUCCAGUCUUCAAUUAUAAGACUA
rnacentral:rRNA from 1 species